rnacentral:rRNA from 1 species
AACUUUCAACAACGGAUCUCUUGGUUCCGGCAUCGAUGAAGAACGCAGCGAAAUGCGAUACGUAAUGUGAAUUGCAAAUUCAGUGAAUCAUCGAGUCUUUGAACGCACAUUGCGCCCCCUGGUAUUCCGGGGGGCAUGCCUGUCCGAGCGUCAUUGCUGCCCUCAAGCCCGGCUUGUGUGUUGGGCCCCGUCCCCCGAU